rnacentral:tRNA from 1 species
GCGGGCGAGUUGGGCGUUCCGGUGGAUCAAACUCUGUCCUGUUACGAUCCCAGUGACGCGGGUGAGCCCUGUCAGCUUUGUGAUUCCUGCCGCCUGCGCCA